rnacentral:tRNA from 1 species
GGCGGAUGUAGCCAAGUGGAUCAAGGCAGUGGAUUGUGAAUCCACCAUUUCGCGG